AAAAACAUAAUAUGACAUGAUAAUAAAACAAACUAAAGUUUCUCUUAAACUAUUUAUUACAUCAUCAAGCUCAAUGUUGGAGUCUCUAGCUAAUUCUAGUAAGAAUCUCAUAACUUCUUGGACUUCAACUUUAUCAAUUAUCAAUCUUUUGCUCCCCUUCUUCUUAUGGAUCCUUAUGCAGAAUCUGCAAGUGAUGUGCACAAUUGCACCUUAGUCCACCAUUAAGAGAAAAUAAUUUGCUAAGAACCUUAGUCAUAAUGAAACAACAUUAUCAACCUCAUUUGCAGUCACUUACUUAAGGAUCUACUUCUUCAUUAUUUACAAAUCUAACAAAAUCAAGAAUGCUCCAAGUCUCCUUAUUAGCAUUGCAGCUAGUCUUGAUGGGAGCAUAACAAGCUAGCAAAGAUGACAUAAUACUUUCCACGAGGAGACCAUCAUAGAUGUCCACUCCAAGUGAUUCUAACUCAUUUGGCAAGUUAAAUAUGCUCAAAAUUUGUCUCAUGACUCCACCUUGACCAUCAUAAAGUGAGGACAUAUUAGUAAUAAGGACAUUGGAAUACAUCUCAAGCGAAAUCUUAUAAUGUUCUUCAACUGACUUUAGUAGUUACUUAGCAUCCAACUCCCUUUCAUCUAUCUUAUCAGGAAUGCCUCCCCUUAUGUCUAUUAACAUCAAUUACUUAAUGAUCCUUUUGACAAUUCUGUUGAAUUUCUCCUACUUCUCAAUGUCAACAGUGUAAUUAUCAAACUUAUGAGCAUAUUCAAAACUGUCACACAUAAUGGGAGCUACAGGCUUAUCCUCACGUAAUGCAUAAUAAAGGUCAAGAAUCAUGAGGACCUCUUGCACAUCUUUCUUCUAGGCAUGAAAAUUAUUGCCAUUGAGAGGAAUAAUGGCUCUUAGUGAAACUGCAAUAUCCUCAACUGAAAAUUAUAGUAACAACAUAAUAUUUUAGUAAUAGCACAAUAAGAUGCACAUAAAAGCACGAAAUUAACCCUAUGGUGAUCUGAUUAAAAUCAUGCAAUAAGUUUCAAUUUGUAUCACCAGUGGGCAAAAAACAAACAAAACUUAUCGUUGACUCAUAAUUAAAACAACGGUGGUCAGAAUUAAUUACAAGUGUACUCUAAUCGAACUUCUCAGUGGUUCCAUUCAAUUAGAGAGCAUCUUAAUUGUACUUGGUGGAAAACCAUAAUUUUCAGUGUAAUUACGCAACUUAAAUAGUAAUUAACAUAAUUUAAACAGCUCAUCGAAAAUAAACAUAAACAAUGAAUUAAAUAAUGAACACUAAUGCAAUAUUUAAUCUUGAACAUAAUGGAAACAUUAAAUAAACUAACUCAUUCUAAAAUUAAACUUAAACUUAAACAUAAUGGAAUCAUGCCAACAUAGCACAAAGUAUUUAAUGGAAUAAGAUUGCACUAUAAUUUAAGGGCUCAUAAAAUUUAAAUCUCAACUUUAUUAAGCAGUGCAUAAACAUUAACAUCAUAAAUUGCACUAAAAAUAAUAUGGCUCAUAAAUCUUAUAGCCAAAACUCAAAUAUGACUUUAUUGAAAAUUUCCCAAACUUAUUCUUAAUGUGCCUUUAAAAUGCCAAAUAAGUUAAGGGAAGAAAACUUAUUCAAAAUGCGAAAAUCUACUAGUAAUUGGCAAUGAACUUCAUUGCAUACAAAAAUCGUAGAUUACUAAAAAUGUGUGACAUAAGCAUUAAGUGACUUAAUACCCAAAUUUACUCUUAAUUUGACCUUUAAAACAAAUUACCAGAAUAAUGGAAAUUUAUUCAUGAUGAGAAAAUCUACUGUUAACAAACUUAUUAACUCAAGACUUGUUGAAAUAUCAUCAAAUAAAUUGAAGCCUAAAAACAAGUAAACGCUUAUGGGAAAUAAAUAAAAAUAAAACAUAAAUUGUAAAGGCAAAACAUUAAUUUGGCUAAGAAAACGUCGAAAUUAGCCCAUGAACUAAAACAGCCCGCAACGACCCAUAACACAUCGUAGCACAACUCCCUUUACUCGCGCAUUUGACCCAGCCCACCGAAGCCUGCUCUUGGCUCAGCCUUUUUCGAAAACAGCCCAACUUGGCCCAUCAUCGACUUGGCCUGCCACCACGACCUGCUCCCACAGUGUCAGAUGCGGGAGCCGCCGUAACCGUCCGAUCAAGAUCGGGCGCCCAGGGUUCACGGUGCUGAGCACCAAGGCUCACGUGGCCGAGCCAACCCUAGCCGGCCCUCACUCUCUCAGCCGCCUUUCUCCUCCUCCCCUCCUCUCUCCCUAUCCCGAUGAGCACCACGGUCACCGUCGCCGUGGCUUCACCGCCACCCUUGCCAGCAUCGCCGCGGGCCCUCCCACCAGUGCCACAUGCGACCUAGUCACGUGUGGUCCAUCAGGGGGGCCCGCUGGGUUGUGUCUAUGGUGGGCGCGCGAACGGUAGCGCGGGAGAAGCGGCGCAUCCGCUCCGUCCCCCGAUCCGGCGGUGCGCCGGUGAGCCAAGGCUGAUGGCUCCGAGAGGGGGGUCGAAGGUCCGGGUGCGGCGAGUCUCAAGCCACAAAGCUUGGAAUGGCGACAUGAAGCGUACUGUCCCGGCUGCUAAAGGCGCACGCUCAUCAGCAACUCAAGCCAUGGGCGUCCCUUGCUGAUGCAGCUUGUCAGGGAGGCGGCUGUCAUCCACGCGCGACGGCCUCAUGCUAUGCGCUGUCGGCAACCAGGUAAGAUCCCUAACCUUCAUCUUAGGGUUAGGGUUCUUCGAGAUUUGGGGAAUUUUUGGGGAAAAAAAUUGGAGCUUUUACUUAAACUUUUCGUGAUUUGCCCAAUUCCUCUCCUAAUGGCUGAUGCACACUUCAAUUUCAUGAAUUGAAUACUAAUCGUGCUAGAUUUAGGCUUAACAGCGCAGAAUUUGGGGAAAACUAGGAAACAGUGAACCCUAGGCCCUAAUUUCUCAACUUAAUCCUGAAAUUUGGCUUUACUGCGGCUCGGAUUUGCUAACUUAGGUACUAAUUAGCCACAAAAGCAUCUAAUUCGGUACUGAUUAAACUAACGGAUCAAUUAUGUUAAACUUGAACAUAAUUAGCCGAACUAGAUUAGAACUUAAUUACUCAUGUGACGUGCAUAAAUUAAUCUGCGGAAGCCUAAUUGCAAACUUACAAGCACAUAAGAUCUAAUGGCAAUUUAAUUCUAACCUUGAUCACUUAAUUUGCACAUAACUUGUAUAGGAUUUGAUCUGCAUCAUCACUAAUUGCUCAUGUUCAAGCAUAACAGAUCCAAUCUACACUAAUUGCACGUGAAACUUUAACCAGAUUGCACUGUGCAUCACUGAUUGCGCGUGACAUUUGCAAAAAUCAUAAUGCAGAGACUUAAUUGCAUAUGAACAUGUACUAAUUGCACAUCAAGAAUUAAUCUGCAUAAACUUAAUCACUUAUGGCUCUUAAAAUCUAAACCGACACUAAUCAGAGGUCUAAACUUGAUUAGCUCCGGCUAUUAGGAUCGUGUCAGGACUAAGAUGGCUCAUGAUACCGAUUGUUAGAUUUAACUUAGUCUAGCAUUAACUUAAACAAGAUCUCAGCUUAGUCUAAUCAUGACCACUAAUCAUAAUUAAUGCGGAAUACUUAGAUUAGACUAACCAGAGCCUUGAGAGUCCAUUGAUUUGCCUCUGAUGUCGAUGUAGAUGCUUGAUGUAGUAGUAGCAGUGAAGAUUAACCACCAGAUUAAGAACAAAGGUUCUCAAUCUGAUGAUCCGUGGCCUGGACGUGGGUACGAGCUUCUACCGCUUCAGUGCCCUUAGCAAUCGGAUUAGAUCUGUUCUGGUGGAAGAACAGAUCGGUUUCGGGUGGCUAAUCACG
rnacentral:lncRNA from 1 species